AUGGCAAAGCUCACUGAUAUGACCAAUGGUGAGUACUCUAGAGUGUUUGACUACCACCUAGAAUUAGUUAGAAGCAAUCCAGGGAGCACUGUAGCUGUUUGUUUAGAUCCAGACAUUCAUGACAAGCCAGUCUUUCAGAGAAUGUAUGUGUGCCUUGAGGGUUGCAAAAAAGGGUUUCUAGCUGGAUGCAGAAGAGUGGUGGGAUUAGAUGGCUGCUUUCUGAAAGGGGCAGUAAUAGGGCAAAUUUUUUCUGCUAUUGGCAGAGAUGCUAAUAAUCAGAUGUACCCACUUGCUUGGGCCACAAUUGAGGUUGAAAGCUAUGAGUCAUGGUAUUGGUUUCUCUCACUUCUCCAAAAGGACCUGUAG
rnacentral:rRNA from 1 species